CUUCUAUCCAGUCUAACAAUCUCUGCCUUUUGAUCAGGGUGUUUAGACUCUUCACAUUUAAUGGCUACUUUCAAUCAAGAAAAAAUUGAACUCCCCAGUGAUGUCAAAGACAGCGUAUUGCAGAGGUUAAUUAACAAGUCAUCUGGAGAAGAUUGAACAGCCAUUGUGCUGACAAGUUCAAGAGCUAAUCGGUUCUGAUGAUGUAAUUUGCAGCAGGGCUUGACGUCUAUUGGCUCGAAGGGUGACAGCUGCUGUGAGCCCUGAUGAUUAAAGUGUGAAGCAUG